rnacentral:rRNA from 1 species
UACGUAGGGGGCGAGCGUUAUCCGGAUUUACUGGGCGUAAAGCGCGUUAAGGCGGUUGGCAAAGUUGGUUGUGAAAUCUCAGGGCUCAACCCUAGAACUGCGACCAAUACUGGUUGACUAGAGUGUGAGAGAGGAAGGUGGAAUUCCCGGUGUAGUAGUGAAAUGCGUAGAUAUCGGGAGGAACACCAGUGGCGAAGGCGGCCUUCUGGCUCAUAACUGACGCUGUAGCGCGAAAGCGUGGGGAGCGAACCGG